CCUUAGUUACUCCAUCGAACAUUCAUCACGACCUUAGCACAAUGAACAACAAGUAUACCGUAAUCGCAAUGGUACUAUUAACACUAACUAUUUUUGUACAYAACAGUCAAGGAAUUACAAGUGUUAUGAACGGCAAAAAUAAUGGAAAACGAAGAUUAAUUGAUGGAAAGGAACUCGAAAAGAGYUACCUUCAAAACGAAGCCCUACGAGACAUUUGUUACAUGGCGGAGAAGCUCGAUUGCAGUGAAAUGCUGCGAAAAAAGUCUGCUAAUCUGUAAAACAAUGCACAAAUACAACACUAGAAACUUGUAAUAUUCUUAGCUGAAAGGAUAUUUAAGAGAAUAAUAUUUUCAUUGAACAAAGUUAUAUUUUAGAAAUAAAUGGAAUACCUAAGAAGCGAGCGAGGAUUMUAAUGUCUGCAAUAAAAAUAUCAUUAAAAUCUAA